AGCGAAAGCUGGCGGCAGGCCUAACACAUGCAAGUCGAACGAUCCUUCGGGAUAGUGGCGGACGGGUGAGUAACACGUGGGAACGUGCCCUUUGGUUCGGAACAACUCAGGGAAACUUGAGCUAAUACCGGAUGUGCCCUCAGGGGGAAAGAUUUAUCGCCAUUGGAGCGGCCCGCGUUGGAUUAGGUAGUUGGUGGGGGAAUGGCCAAUCAAGACUACGAGCCAUAGCUGGUCUGAGAGGAUGAUCAGCCACACUGGGACUGAGACAAGGCCCAGUGUCAUGCGGUAGCCGGCGGUGCGGAAUCUAGAGCAAUCGGCUAGAACCUGGCGCUGCCAUGCCGCGUUAAUGAUGAAGGUCUUAGGAUUGUAAAAUUCUUUCGCCGCGGACGAUAAUGUCGGUACCCGGAGAAGAAGCCCCGGCUAACGUCGUGCCAGCCUCCGCCGUAAUAC
rnacentral:rRNA from 1 species